rnacentral:rRNA from 1 species
AAGGCUCAGACAGCCAGGAUGUUGGCUUAGAAGCAGCCAUCAUUUAAAGAAAGCGUAAUAGCUCACUGGUCGAGUCGGCCUGCGCGGAAGAUGUAACGGGGCUAAGUAGUAAACCGAAGCUGCGGCAAUAUACUUUUGUAUAUUGGGUAGGGGAGCGUUCUGUAAGCGGUUGAAGGUGUGUGGUAACGCAUGCUGGACGUAUCAGAAGUGCGAAUGCUGACAUGAGUAACGAUAAAGGGGGUGAAAAACCUCCUCGCCGGAAGACCAAGGGUUCCUGUCCAACGUUAAUCGGGGCAGGGUAAGUCGACCCCUAAGGCGAGGCCGAAAGGCGUAGUCGAUGGGAAACGGGUUAAUAUUCCCGUACUUCUUACAAUUGCGAUGGGGGGACGGAGAAGGCUAGGUGGGCCUGGCGACGGUUGUCCAGGUUCAAGUGCGUAGGCUGAGAGAUUAGGUAAAUCCGGUUUCUCUUAAGGCUGAGACACGACGUCGAGCACCUACGGGUGUGAAGUCAUUGAUGCCAUGCUUCCAGGAAAAGCCUCUAAGCUUCAGAUUGUAAGGAAUCGUACCCCAAACCGACACAGGUGGUCGGGUAGAGAAUACCAAGGCGCUUGAGAGAACUCGGGUGAAGGAACUAGGCAAAAUGGUACCGUAACUUCGGGAGAAGGUACGCUCUCGACGGUGAAGUCCCUUGCGGAUGGAGCUAUUGAGAGUCGCAGAUACCAGGUGGCUGCAACUGUUUAUUAAAAACACAGCACUGUGCAAAAUCGUAAGAUGACGUAUACGGUGUGACGCCUGCCCGGUGCCGGAAGGUUAAUUGAUGGGGUUAGACUUCGGUCGAAGCUCUUGAUCGAAGCCCCGGUAAACGGCGGCCGUAACUAUAACGGUCCUAAGGUAGCGAAAUUCCUUGUCGGGUAAGUUCCGACCUGCACGAAUGGCGUAAUGAUGGCCACGCUGUCUCCACCCGAGACUCAGUGAAAUUGAAAUCGCUGUGAAGAUGCAGUGUACCCGCGGCUAGACGGAAAGACCCCGUGAACCUUUACUACAGCUUGGCACUGAACAUUGACCCUACAUGUGUAGGAUAGGUGGGAGGCUUUGAAGCACGUACGCCAGUAUGUGUGGAGCCGUCCUUGAAAUACCACCCUUGUAGUGUU